GCCAAUGUAGCUCAGCCCGGUAGAGCUUUCGCCUUGUAAGCGAAGGGUCGGGGGUUCAAAGCCCCCCAUUGGCU
rnacentral:tRNA from 3 species